UACGGAGGGUGCGAGCGUUGUCCGGAAUCACUGGGCGUAAAGGGCGCGUAGGUGGCCUCUUAAGUGUGUGGUGGAAGCCCGGGGCUCAACCCCGGGUCGGCCAUGCAAACUGGGGGGCUUGAGCAUUGUAGAGGCAGGCGGAAUUCCGGGUGUAGCGGUGGAAUGCGUAGAGAUCCGGAAGAACACCGGUGGCGAAGGCGGCCUGCUGGGCAAUUGCUGACACUGAGGCGCGACAGCGUGGGGAGCAAACAGG
rnacentral:rRNA from 1 species